rnacentral:rRNA from 1 species
AUUGAACGCUGGCGGCAGGCCUAACACAUGCAAGUCGAACGGUAACAGGAAGCAGCUUGCUGCUUCGCUGACGAGUGGCGGACGGGUGAGUAAUGUCUGGGAAGCUGCCUGAUGGAGGGGGAUAACUACUGGAAACGGUAGCUAAUACCGCAUAAUGUCGCAAGACCAAAGAGGGGGACCUUCGGGCCCCUUGCCAUCGGAUGUGCCCCGAUGGGGUUAGCUUGUUGGUGGGGUAACGGCUCACCAAGGCGACGAUCCCUAGCUGGUCUGAGAGGAUGACCAGCCACACGGGAACUGAGACACGGUCCAGACUCCUACGGGAGGCAGCAGUGGGGAAUAUUGCACAAUGGGCGCAAGCCUGAUGCAGCCAUGCCGCGUGUAUGAAGAAGGCCUUCGGGUUGUAAAGUACUUUCAGCGGGGAGGAAGGGAGUAAAGUUAAUACCUUUGCUCAUUGACGUUACCCGCAGAAGAAGCACCGGCUAACUCCGUG